AAAAAUGAUGUGAAAGUAAAGUUAUUUAUAGUGUAAGAUGUGCACCUCACUUUGGACUGCACGGGUAACAUUGCUCGUCUUUUAUUUUGCCCCCUGCAAUUUAGCUUAAUUUUAUUUUAGGGAAAACUUCAAAAAUCUUCCCUGUAGUUUCGUAGUUUCUCACUUUGCCCCCCUGUGGUUUAAAAUGUACCAAAUUCCUCCCCUGUGGUUUCGUUUUUAUCUUUUCGGUAGCUUUUUUGUUAAUAUUUCAUUAAAUUAUAUACAAAAAACUUUAGAUACCCAUCUAGAUUUAUCAAAUAUUCGCUUUAGUACCCUUUAAUUUUAACUUUAUUACUGAUUUAAGAAAAAAAAAUAAUAAAAUUGAUAAGAAAAAGAGAAAAAAGAAACUACAAAGGGGCAAAUUGAUACAUUUUAAACCACAGGGGGGCAAAGUGAGAAGCUAGGAAACCACAGGGGGGUUUUUUGAAGUUUUUCCUUUAUUUUAUUAUUCUAUGAUUUAAAAAGUUACGUUUUUAUUUUGCUAUGAUUUAGCGCAUUUUGUACUUGACCACUAUGUUAUACCUUUUUUUAUUUUUUACUUUGCUUCUCUAUUUUGAAUAUUAUUUUUUUCACUUUUUAAGUAUGAUUUUUUAAUUUUGAAUCUAUUUUUUGAAAAAAAAAAGGAGUGGUUGCGUUUUUGUAGUAAUUUUAUCUUGAAUAGAGCGAGAAUAUUUUAGAAAUUAGAUUUUAUAAAUUUACAAUAUCAUUUACCUAGUGAAUAAAUGACCUUAGAUAUAUUUUAUAUUUGCUGUUAAAAGUUGAUAACUACAGUUCAGUUGAACAGGAAAUAAUUGUGCUAAUUGUUGAUUUGGAUGCUCAAUAAAUUUCGACAAUACGUGAAAAUACUAACAGAUUGAUUGAUACUUCUAAAAGUAUUUUAACUAAUUAAACUCUCUUAUCUUUUAUUCUUUUUUCAU
rnacentral:lncRNA from 1 species